rnacentral:rRNA from 1 species
AGUUAACGUUGGCGGCGUGCCUAACACAUGCAAGUCGAACGCGUCCCCGCAAGGGGAUGAGUGGCGAACGGGUGAGUAACACGUGGGUAAUCUUCCUUCAAGUGGGGAAUAAGCUCUCGAAAGGGAGUCUAAUACCGCAUGACGUUCCGGGACAUAAGUCCCGUAAUUAAAGCCGCAAGGCGCUUGAAGAUGAGCCUGCGUCCUAUUAGCUAGUUGGUAGGGUAACGGCCUACCAAGGCUCAGAUGGGUAGCCGGCCUGAGAGGGUGAACGGCCACACUGGAACUGAGACACGGUCCAGACUCCUACGGGAGGCAGCAGUGAGGAAUUUUGCGCAAUGGGGGAAACCCUGACGCAGCGACGCCGCGUGGAGGACGAAGGCCUUCGGGUCGGUAAACUCCUGUCAGAGGUGAAGAAUGCCCGCAAGGGCUUGACGGUAACCGUCAGAGGAAGCCCCGGCGUAACUACGUGCCAGCAGCCGCGGUAACAUACUCGUA